GACAGAGGGUGCAAACGUUUGUUCGGAAUUACUGGGCGUAAAGCGCGUGUAGGCGGCCCUGCAAGUCGGGUGUGAAAUCCCACGGCUCAACUGUGGAACUGCAUUUGAAACUGCCGAGCUAGAGUAUGAGAGGGGUUAAGGGAAUUCCCGGUGUAAGGGUGAAAUCUGCAGAGAUCGGGAGGAACACCAGUCGCGAAGGCGCUUAACUGGCUCAUUACUG
rnacentral:rRNA from 1 species